UCCUAGCACACCCAUCACUUGGGAAAUUACAAAGGUUUUAGAAGCUCUGGGCCAGGAACCCAGGAUGAAGACCCAAUACAGCUAUAAGUUUAAAAGCUUAAAGCACUGUGUGAGUGCUGGGGAACCAAUCACCCCUGACGUGACUGAAAAAUGGAGAAACAAGACGGGCCUGGAUAUCUACGAAGGAUAUGGACAGACUGAAACGGUGCUAAUCUGUGGAAAUUUUAAGGGAAUGAAAAUUAAACCUGGCUCAAUGGGAAAACCUUCUCCUGCUUUCGAUGUUAAGAUUGUAGAUGUAAAUGGCAAUGUUCUACCUCCUGGACAAGAAGGAGAUAUUGGCAUUCAAGUUCUACCUAACCGACCAUUUGGCCUUUUUACUCACUAUGUAGAUAAUCCUUCAAAAACAGCUUCAACUCUACGAGGCAAUUUCUAUAUCACUGGGGACAGAGGAUAUAUGGAUGAAGAUGGGUAUUUCUGGUUUGUUGCAAGAGCAGAUGAUGUCAUAUUAUCCUCUGGUUAUCGAAUUGGACCAUUUGAGGUAGAAAAUGCCCUGAAUGAACACCCUUCAGUUGCAGAGUCAGCUGUUGUCAGCAGCCCAGACCCCAUCAGAGGAGAGGUAGUAAAGGCUUUUGUCGUUCUAAAUCCUGAUUACAAGUCACAUGAUCAAGAACAACUAAUAAAGGAGAUUCAGGAGCAUGUUAAAAAAACCACAGCACCUUACAAAUAUCCCAGAAAGGUAGAAUUUAUUCAAGAGCUGCCAAAGACUAUCAGUGGGAAGACAAAAAGAAAUGAACUGAGGAAGAAAGAAUGGAAGACAAUUUAAAGUUGUUUCAUUAAUUACCA
rnacentral:sRNA from 1 species